GGCGCCAUCGUCUAGCGGUUAGGACGUUGCCUUCUCAAGGCGAAAACCGGGGUUCGAUUCCCCGUGGCGCUA
rfam:Candidatus Peregrinibacteria bacterium RIFCSPLOWO2_02_FTLL_39_10 rifcsplowo2_02_scaffold_4927, whole genome shotgun sequence.